GACGAACCGUCCUAACGUUAUUCGGAAUCACUGGGCUUAAAGGGCGCGUAGGCGGCCUUGAAAGUCGGGGGUGAAAUCCCACGGCCUAACCGUGGAAGUGCCUCCGAUACUGCAAGGCUCGAGGGAGGGUAGGGGCAGCUGGAACUUCCGGUGGAGCGGUGAAAUGCGUUGGAUAUCGGAAGGAACGCCGGUGGCGAAAGCGAG
rnacentral:rRNA from 1 species